rnacentral:rRNA from 1 species
CCCUUAGAUGUUCUGGGCUGCACGCGCGCUACACUGAUGCGAUCAACAAGUUUUUCCUAUGUCGAUAGACACGGGUAAUCUUUUGAACUCGCAUCGUGAUGGGGAUAGAUUAUUGUAAUUAUUAAUCUUCAACGAGGAAUUCCUAGUAGGUGCAAAUCAUCAGCUUGCAUCGAUUACGUCCCUGCCCUUUGUACACACCGCCCGUCGCUGCUACCGAUUGGUUGAUCUGGUGAAUUAUUCGGACUGCCGGCUGAAGGGGUUUCCUCAUCUGCCAGCGGAAAGUCUUGUUAACCCUAUCAACUAGAGGAAGCAGAAGUCGUAACA